UUGAGAGGGCGGGGGAGAAGCAGCGGUUUGGUGCGAUCCAGCUCUCGCCAUUUGUGCUUCUCUCCUGGCAGCCAACAGCGGCAGCAGCGCUGAGCGGGGGCUCAGCAUCGCCUGCUGCUGCUCCCACGCGCGGCGGGAGGAAAACAGCCUGCUCACCGUUCUCGCCUUCCAGCAGCACCGCAGGCUCCUGGAGAGGCAGGGAAGCCGUGUCAGCUGAGCAAAUAUACCUCCAGAUAAGUGAGGAUGUCGACAAUUAAACAGUUCAUCGAUUCACGUCCAAGGGAUUAUUCAGUAACACAAGGUUCUUACUGAGCUCCCUCUCUCGCAAGCAGAUAAAAAUCCUGCUGAUGGUGGUGGGAACACACCAGACACCUCAUUUACAUGCAAGACGUGUUGUUGGGUUAUGAAAAGUAGAGAUAUUUUGAAGCAGUCCUGCGGUUCACCUUUUGCUCUGCCUGCUUUCACAAGCUGCUCCGCUCCAUGUGCUCUUCCGCAGCACUUGGGGACAUGCCAGCAUCAGACCCCAUCCCAAAAAACUGAAGAUUCAAGCUGCAAGUUCAAGGUUUAUCUGCUGGCACACCCUUAUCCUGCUGGCAUCAUUCCUUCAUCCCCAGCUUCUCUCUGCAGACUAAACGAGCCAGUUUUCUUCGCCCUCAUGUUUUGGGGAAGGGUUGAUGAUCCUGGGAAAUGCCCCCAGUCUCCUCUUUAAGCCCAUUCCCACUGGGAUGUGGACCUCUGGCCUUUUCAGCCCCAAUCCUGCAUCUAGGAGACCUCCUUGCAGGUUGUUCACGAUGUCACCGAUGAGGACCCUGCCAAAAGCCUUGCUGAAGGUGAGGGCUGCAGUAUCCGUUGCAUCAAUCUACAACUGCCUGAAAGGAGGUUAUAGCAUGGAGGGUGUUGGUCUCUUCUCCCAAGUAGCAAGUGAUAGGACAAGAGGAAACAGCCUCAAGUUGUGCCAGUGGAGGUUUAGAUUGGAUAUUAGGAAACAUUUCUUCAUGGAAAGAGUUGUGAAGUAGUAGAACAGGCUGCCUGGGGAAGUGGUGGAGUGACUAUCCCCAGAGGGGAUUGAAAGAUAUAUAGAUGAGGCUCUUAGGGACAUGUUUUAGUGACAGAGUUAAUUAUGGUUGGAAUCAAUGAUCUUGAGGGUCUCUUGCAACUGAAAUUAAUCUAUGACUCUAUUCUAUUAUCCCAAUGCAUCACGAUGCCAAAACCUGAAUUAACCAAGCGGCUGCUGUGUCUCGGCAGAGCCACGCUCAGUCUGUCACAUGGAGGCUUCCACUGGAGCUUGGGGACAUGGAGUCGUUGCUGUGUGUGCCCAAGGUAGAAAAACACCAAGUGGCACUUCAAGGCUGCCAGGAGAGAGCUCUGCAAGGGACGCAACUGUGUGACCGUGGGCUGGAGCAGGAGCAAGCCUACCAAGCAGGAGCAGCUGUGAAAUGCUCCAGCGCAGCCUCAAAUGGUCCCAGGUGCCUGAUUUGGGCAAUGUGCUGGAACAGUGACUGUGAAGGAUGCUGCUCCUGGGUUUGACACUCCUGUAGGAAUUGAUGCUGCUGAUGCUUCAGCACUGCUAACUACGGCUCAUCACCUUGACCUGUGCGCCAGGCGAACAGAAGCAGCUGGGCAGCCUGGACUGGACCUGGCUUGAACCACCUUGUAGGUGGUUUUGCUUUGGAGUGGGCAUCUCAUCCUUCGAGGCAGCAAUAAAUAACCUAAAUGUUAUGAUUAGCCACUUAAAAUCAAUUGACAUUGACAGCCACAGCCUGGCUGGAGCAUGGGAAGUGAAACCUUUGCCCUUGGGAAGGGGGUCACAGUGUCUUGUCACACAGAUCAUCUUUGGGGAGUAAAAACCUGUGCCCUAAGCUUCCACCAAGCACCUGCUUCUGACCAAAACCGGAGAACAUCACCUUGAAGAGCAAGUUACAGCAAAACCCCAGAGCCUCAGGACAAAUGCACCCGAAAGGACUAGUUUUGUUCAGUCCAGAGCAGAAAACCCAUCAGCUGAGUCAGGCUGCUCUGCUGUGAGUCACAGCUACCAAUAUCACGAUAUUCCUGAGUGGGGGCUAAACCCUGCCUGCUGCCAACUGCCCCCCGGUGCUGGCUCUGCCCUCAGCAUCCGAAUCCCCCAAGCCUCCGAGUGCACCUCCUGCAGCAAAAACCAAUAGUGGUGCCUCCAGAAGCAGAAUGAGGAGAAGUUUUGACCACAAGCAGUGUCUGGAGGAGCCAUAGAGCUCUAGCAGCUCUGCAAGGGGAAGGAUGAGAUUGAUGGGAAGAGCCAGGAGCUGGGAGAAGCCUGGGCAGGAGUGGGCGUCUGGUCCAGGUACUGGCAACAGCAUGCUGGGAGUGCUGCAAAAAGCACUUUGCAAAGGAAAAAAAACAUUCGAGCAGUGAGGUGAAAGGUCUGGAAAAAGCGGCGAGCGAGAGGGAAGGAGGAGGAGGAAACGUGGGCGCAGAAGUAGGUGGUGCCACAUAGCAAGUUUCUGAUGUAGCCGGGAAAGGCAUCCAGAGCUCCCGAUUCCCAGUCCCACGCCUUCACCGGGAGACCAUCUGUCCUCUCCUGGGGGGAAGAAGCCCUUGGGUCAGGCGAGAGCGUUUUCCUCAUCCCAUGAAAAAUAGCAGGCGGCACUGAGCUGUGGUACGGCACCGAGCCUUGGCAUGGCAUUGCUUCCCAGGGUUCCUGCUCUGGCUGUGCCUGCCAGUCCCUGCAUCCCUCCCCUGGGACCUGCCAGGCUCACCUGCCUUCUAAAAUGCUUUAAAAACAUCGGGUGAUAGCUCUGUUGUUUUUUUUUUUUCUGCCAUAGCUAAUCCAAUUCUUCCCUCUGGAGCAUUUUAAAAAGGGGUUUGGGCUGGGCUUUUAUCUGAUGAAAGGCUGUCUUUCAGGAAAAUGGCCAUUUCCCCAAAUUCUGUUGAAUGCAGACUGCAGAGCAAAGCAACCAAACAAAGCAGCUUGGUGGUGGGUUUCUUUGUUUUCUUUUUUUUCCCCCUCCAUCCAGGUUUGAUUCAAAGAAAAAUUUUAACAAUUCUGAUCUGGAAUUAUUUUUCCUGGUAUCAUUUGUGGUUAGCAGACACAACAUUUCCCCAUUUUCCUGAGUCCUGAGGCUCAGGCACCACUGGAGGAAGACACACAAGACAUGCUGGGAACACCCUCAGGCUUGUCUAUGCUGCUCAGCUGUGGCAAGGACACGUCCCUACGGCACCGACUCCAUCCCGCGGCGUUGCCAUCACCUGCCCUUGCCCUGCCUGCACUUGCCGUGGUGGGUACCAGUGCCCUGAGCCAUGGAGGCGGCCUGCAGCAGCUCCAGCAUGGGGAGCACACCAUCUGGACAGGUCCUUUGGGAAGGUGCCAACCUACUGGCACAAUCAAGUGGAAGCAUGCUGGUGGCCUGGGUGUCUCCUGUCAUGGACACCGUGCUGCUCAGCACAGCCCUGGAGACUCCUCAUCUUGAUCAUUAAAAAGCAACAAGGUGCAAGGGAUGCCUGCAUGGAUGUUGGGGAUGGGAUGCUACGUCAUCAGGUGUGCCCAGCCUCUUGUCCUCAGGCUCUCUCUAGGUAGAUAAGGUUAAGCAUCUGAGACCAAGAGGCCAAAACAUUGCUCAGCAUUUCUGAAAAUCAAAGUGUAGCUCAUCCACAAAGAACCAGGCAGCUCUGGCAGGCAGUUUGGCAGCACCUUGUGGGGCCGGGAGCAGGGUGAAGCAUCCAGCCUCUUCCUCAGCAUGGCUGCAAAGCUGCCCAUGCCAACAACGCGUGUUUCAAAGCACUUUGCAAAUAUCACAGCCUGUGAGGAGCAAACUCCUUCCUAUUGAUUGGACAAACAGGGUGUACAGCGGAGGGUGGAUGGCUGUGCCCAGCCAGGGACAGGCCACAAGGGACCUGUGUCACCCAGUGUCCCCAGCCAGCAGCACACCCUCUGGGCACACACACGGUGCCAGCAGCUUGGAGCAAACUAGAUCAGCCUCUUUCCAUCCCAUGGGAAUGCAAACUUUUGACAUCGUUUGAGAGGCCCUGGCGAUGCAUGCCGUGCAUUUACAUGUCUCUGCUUUCUCCCUGAGAAAUGCGGGUGCCAACUUUGCUGUGCUACCAGUAAUAAGCUUCUAAUGCCAUGUAUUCAGGAUCCCUUGUUUGCCCUGUAGAAAGUGUCUCUUCAUGCAUCAGACUCAGAGAACAAAGCACGGGCUGUUUAGCCGCAGGAUGUAACCACCUGUUGUAAUACUUCAUUGAUCUAAUCUUUUGUUUUAAUUAAAAGCCUUUCAGUUUGGUUUGCA